rnacentral:rRNA from 1 species
GAUGAACGCUGGCGGCGUGCCUAAUACAUGCAAGUCGAGCGAACAGACGAGGAGCUUGCUCCUCUGACGUUAGCGGCGGACGGGUGAGUAACACGUGGAUAACCUACCUAUAUGACUGGGAUAACUUCGGGAAACCGGAGCUAAUACCGGAUAAUAUAUUGAACCGCAUGGUUCAAUAGUGAAAGACGGUUUUGCUGUCACUUAUAGAUGGAUCCGCGCCGCAUUAGCUAGUUGGUAAGGUAACGGCUUACCAAGGCGACGAUGCGUAGCCGACCUGAGAGGGUGAUCGGCCACACUGGAACUGAGACACGGUCCAGACUCCUACGGGAGGCAGCAGUAGGGAAUCUUCCGCAAUGGGCGAAAGCCUGACGGAGCAACGCCGCGUGAGUGAUGAAGGUCUUCGGAUCGUAAAGCUCUGUUAUUAGGGAAGAACAACUGUGUAAGUAACUAUGCACGUCUUGACGGUACCUAAUCAGAAAGCCACGGCUAACUACGUG